rnacentral:lncRNA from 1 species
AGUCUACAUCUUUCACGCAUGCUGGAUGCUGCCUGCCCUCGAACAUCAGACUCCAACUUCUUCAGUUUUGGGACUUGGACUGGCUCUCCUUGCCCCUUGGCUUGUAGACAGCCUAUUGUGAGACCUUGCGAUCAUGUAAGUUAAUACUUAAUAAACUCCUUUGAUAUAUAUAUUAUAUAUGUGUGGAUAUAUAUGUAUGUAUAUAUUAUAUUAAUUAAUGAAGUGUUAAAAACCUUUUGCUCUUUAGACCGUAGUAUUAGUCAGGGUUCUCUUAGAAGGACAGAACUAAUAGGAUAUAUAUAUAUACAUAUAGGAUAUAGAACUAAUAGGAUAUAUAGAGGGAGGAUAUAGGAUAAGAGGAUAUAUAUAUAUAGGAUAUAUAUAUCAUAAUAGGAUAUAUAUAUACACACACACAUAUAUAUGUAUAUAUAUCCGAUUAGUUCUGUCCCUCUAAGAGAACCCUGACUAAUACAAUGGUCUGAAGAGCAAAAGGUUUUUAACACUCCAUUAAUUAAAGUAAUGUGUGACGUAUUCCAACUUACUAUUAUUUGUCCAACUGUAUAAAACUGUAAAUUACAUGUACCAAAGUCAGAGGGCCCACAGAUUUAAUUCAAGAACUGACUCUCCAAUACAACCACAAUGAAAAGCAUUUAUUUAUAGUGUAGAUCCAAUAUUUUCUUUUCCAUUUUAUGAAUUACUUAACUUUGAUGAAUCUCAAUUUAGAUGAGAACAAUAAAAAUAUAUAUGCCAGCACUGGUGUAAAGAUUACAAAUGAGAUAAUACCUCUGACACAUGAUAAAAAUUAAACAACCUUCUUUCAGACUACACAGUAAAUGUGUUGAGAUUGGCUUGAGGAUGGAUCAAAGUCUUCAGCAAAUUAUGGCUAAUUCAUUAUUCUAAUCUCUGUCAAAUUAAGAAGGAUUUUGAAUGAACAUCGAUAUUUAUAUAAAACUGUGUAACUCUUGAUUUUGCUCUUUAAUGUUCAUAACCUCCCACCAGUUGUUUAUUUAGGCACCUGUACUAUUAUUACAAAACUAAAUAAAAGCAAAUGUCCUAAGGUAGAUAAUUAAAUCAAGUAUCUAGAUUGGGUUUGCAAUCUUUAGCCCACAGGUCAAAUUUAGCUUGCUGUCCACUUUAUCAAUAAAAUUUUAUUGGAAUGCAGUCCACACUCAUGUAUGUAAUACUGAGCAUGACUGUAUAGACAGAUACUCAUAUAUUAUCUAUGGUGCUUCUGUGCUGCUGUGGCAAGUUGAAUAAUUGCAGUAGAGACCAUAUGGCCUACAAAGCCUAAAACAUUUACUAUCUAUCCUUUUACAGAAAAUGCUUGAUGAGCCAUUGCAAUUCAGGAAUUUACACAAUUUGGGAAAACAAAGCCAUACUAUAAUUAAGAAUGGCUUUACUUUAUAGAAGAAGACAAUUUUAAAUGAGGGUAUGAUUUGGAAUAUAAAUGCUGUACACUCAAGAUGAAUUCAGCCUCUUUUAACAAAACUUCUGAGAUCAACUCUACUUUUAGUGUUUGUAAAAAUAGACGAUUUCUAUUUGGAUUAUUCAGAAUAAACUUGCUUCAUUCAAUUUAAAGGAUUUCAGCAUUCAGCCUGCUAAAACCAUAGGGUGGUAACCUAAUGAUUUCAGUCAGCAUGAUCAAACUGGGUUCAAUUGCUGUAUCUUCUCUAUAAGUUACCUUAGCCAUAUGUUUGUCAGAGAUCAAUUAACUGGACACUAACAGUAGCUUCUUGGUAGAGUUUUCACAUUUGUCCUAAGUUUACAUUUAAAAUGGUAGUUUAUUGUAAGAUAUUUUUAUUUAGAGGAAUGAUCAUUUAGCCCUGUGUGUGUGUGUGUGUGUGUGUGUGUGCAUGUGUGUGUGAGAGAGAGAGAGGGAGGGGUAGAGAGAGAGAGGGAGGGAGGCAGAGACAAAAAUAAAAUAUGCCAUUCCAUGUUAUGUCCUGAUUUCUCUUUCAUUAGGUAUUCAAGUACAGAAACACAAAGAUUGAGCAAUUAUGAACAUCUAGUUAAAUGUGUUACAUAUUAAGAGCUCUCAGCAAAUGUUUGAUGGUGGCAAUACAUCAAGUUUAUUGUAGUUGAUCUAUGUGGCUAACUGAUAGCAGUUACCUAUCUUUCUCUAUAAGAGAAUUUUUAAAGGAUUAUCUACAUUCCUAAACAUAAUACAGAGAGCAAAAAGGAAAAAGAAAAGUCAUACAUAAUUCCACCACACAGAGGAAUGACUAUUGUUAACAUUUCUUUCUGAACAAGUUUGAUAUUCUCUGUGUCUCUGGGUUUCUCUCCAUGUCUCUUAGCAUCCAUUACCCAAACCACUUUGUCUCUGCUUUUUUUUCAGUUAUAAAUGCCUAACUAUACACUUACACACGAUUAUUUUUAGUAUUCUAACAUAGAUGUUAUAAUUUUUUAAAUUCCUCAUGGCUAUUUACACACAUUAUACAUUGUUCUAAUUAUUUGCAAGUGUAAGUAAAGCUGGAAUAUCUCCCAAAGACUCCUUUGUUCAUAUCUCUGACUGCCUUGGUAGGAUAAAUUCCUCGAGUAAAAAUACUAGGUUAAGGUAUAUUUAUUUAUUUUCUUACUUGCAGCUUCUGUAAUCACCACCACUCUUCUUCUUUCUCUUUGAAUAUAACCUUUGAAUAUUGAAAACAUGUCAAAAGAGCAAUAUUUGGGACACCAGAAAGACUGGGCAAACUUCUCACUCUCAUUCCUAACUCAGAAAUCCAUAGAUCAGAGUUCACACAAAAAUAUGCUUGAAAAUCUUUGCAUAUCUGUACUGCGCCUAAAAAGUAUUUAUUCAAACAUAUAGAACUUUAGUGGCAUAGAAAUCUGGAGUGUAUAUUGUUAUUUCACGUUUAUUUCUUUGUGUACGUGAGAAGAGUAAUAGCAAUAUGCAAAUACUUACAUUAUGUCUAAAAUAAUGGGAGCAGAUCUACUGAAGGAAUUAAAAUUACCAGAGAAACGGAUUAUCAUGGCUUCCUAAAGGUUAUUAUGUGGAAGAGGAAACAAAAUAAAUCAUAAAUAUUACUUUACAAAGAAUGAAUAUUUUUAGCUUGACUUAACUGAAAUGGCCUUAUGUUUCCUUUAAAGUAUUUGUUCUCAGAUUUAUAGCGUUAGUUCUAAAAUAUUUUAAGUACAUCUUUAAGGCAAGAAUGGUGCUGAUUUUGCACAGGAAGCAAAUAAAAUUUCUUAAUUUCAUUUUAAAAUAAGGUAUUGUAUUAUAUAUUUAGUGUAGCAGCUAAGACCCUGAUUGCUUUAUCUAGAAAAUAGAUGCAGUUGUAUAUUCUGUAAAACAGAUAAUAAAAUUGCCUACUGUCUAAAACAAGUAAUUUUUUCUUAACCAGGCUGCCUUAGCUCAUAUACUUACAGGUAUUAUAUGAAAGUUCAGAUUAAUAUUUAUUCAAAAAUUAAAUAAAGGGGAAAAUGUGUAUAAUAUUUAUUCACUGAAAAUAAAACAUCAGCUUGGUUAUCUAACUACCUUCGGUGUAGAAAAUGCGACCAAUAAAAUAUUAAAAAUGAUCAUCACUUGUUUUCAUAAAAAUCAUGACUUGUACUAAAAAUUGAGGUGAAUUAUACUUUUGAUCAUCCAAAAAAUGGUGAUGCUGCCCCUUUUUGGCCUCACUGACAUUUACUAUCUCUCUUUUUUACUCCAAUUGUUGCCCCAUUCUUCCCUUGGGGAAUGUUACCAUGAUAUAAAAACAGGGUACAGCCUGCCGAAUAUUUCUAGUGGAAUCAGGAAGAUUAUACACAGAACAUAAAGAAUGACAUUGUCAAGGAUUUGCGUCUGAGUCCAAAGAGGGGCCAGACUCACUAGUCAUUAGACCUGGAUGGUCUCUGAAAAGCAGCAGAUACAAUAUGGGAAUAAGAAAUACUUAAAUUUUUCUUAAACAAUCUUUUUUUUUGCUACUGUGUGUUUCUACGCAUUUAGCCCCACAACCUCCAAAACAACUGCUAUGUUCAAUGAGUAAAUAUGGUAGUUUUGGUUCAUAUUUGUCCUAGAGAUUUGAGAAAUGAAGAAUGUAUUGAUUUUUGGAUACUUGUGUCCAAACCUUCUUAUGACUGACGAUGGGGUGAUUAAGUUAUACAGUCUUCCAUGGUCCUGAAUUACAAUAAUUUCCUUAAAAUAUGUGUAAGUUAAAUACAGGUAGAAGAAUAAUAUGUCUAUUAAUAGGUCUCAAAGACUAAUGCUAAUCUGUGACAAAUUUUUCACUGUGCUUUGGUGAAAUAAGAAAAUAUAAACAUUGAAAAAUAUAUAAAUCCAUAUAGACAUAUGAAAACAGAGAAAGACACACACACACACAGAGACAGAGACAGAGUGUGAGAAUGCCAGAUGUCUUUUCUAGAAAGAUUAUGCAAUUUUUAAAAAUGCAAAUCUUCUAAUGUAGAAAUGUCUCUUGUUCAUAAAUUGUAUUUGGCAAAAAAGGCCAAUUUGAGUGUUUGUUUCUCAGCUGAAUAAGAAAUUGACAUUUUAUAUCAGUAUCUCAAUAUUUUUAUUCAUCUUCUAUGAAUCCCAAGCAAAUUGGAGAAGAGGGGACCUUUGUCUAACGUCUGACCCACCAUUAAUCUAUACCUCCAGAGUAAGGAAAAUGUGCUUUGUGAUUUAGUUAGUCACUGAUUCUACAAACCAGCAAAUAUAUUUAUAGAGGUCUUCCAGCUCUUUGAGAGAAUUUUUUAUGUUUUUAUAUUGACAAUUUAAAAAGUAAUAUACAUGCCACCUAGAUUAUCUCAAUAAUCAUCAAGUACUGGUAAGAAAUUUUAAUAACUCUAUGUCUUUAUCUACAAUUACAUUGAUGCCAAGUUAUACAAUUAUACUUGCUAUGGGCUAAUCAAAAGAAGAGAGAAUGAAUUAAUGAACACAUAGCAAAUAGUACAAACAGAUAUUAUAGAAGUUCACAUUCAGGAAAGUGAUGGGAGAUAUGAUUCCACAAUCAUAAAUAAUACUAUUGAACACUAUUGUUAUAACCAAACCCAAGAGCCUAUGAUGCAGAAGCACAGUUGCCCAUAUUGUGGGCAUUAACUUAAUUUCUAGAAAACUAAAUUAUUUAUUAAGUAAUUUAAUAAUAUUUUAAAUUUAAAUUUCCAUUGGUUUGCAGUUUGGCUUAUAUUUAAUGUAUAAGUUAAAUUUGAAGCUCAGCAGUAAAACUUUAUGUCCAGGUCAUGUCUGUGCAUAUUUAAGUGUUAUUUAAAUAAAAACAAUUUAGGUUUCAUGAUUUCACAAAAUGCUUUUUUUCUUUUAAAAGAUGUUUACUCAAAUUAAUCUGUCAAUUAUAAGUUCAACAUAAAUAUAAAUUACCUUAAGAGUACUAAAAUAUUAAUCUUCUGUUAGUCUAAAAUAACAUCAUAAAAUUAUUUUAUUACAUUACUUUUUCAAUAGAGAGUUCUGGGAAUUCAAGAGUUUUGAUUAGGAGAUACAGAGAAAAAGUAUAAUUUUGAAUUUUUCUAUUAAUAGACUUGGGUGAGACUCUAGGACAAAUGGCUCUGACAAAGGAAGAGGUAAUCUGAGGAUAGCAAGUCUGUCUCUUUAGAGUAAGGAACACCUACAGUAAUAUGAAAGAACAUGAAUUAUAUAUAUUAGUAUCUCUGUAGUUAUCAACUAAAACAAAGUUUAUAAUCUUGUUAUAUCCUUCCCUGAGGAGUUCUAUAACAUGUCCAAAAGAGCAAAGAACUCAAAAGAUGAAAAUAAGGAAGAACAAAUCAGGAUAUUAGAAUGACAGAGAAGUCCUCUAUGACAUUAGAUGUAACAGGCUGCGUUGCCCAAGUCUGAGUUUUUCCACACUCUCACAGCAUGUUCAAGUCAUUUUAUUCAUUUUAUAAGGGUCCAUUUUACGUAGAGUAGAAUGGUAUGGCUACCAUGCCUUCUUUCUGGCUCACGUUGUUGCAUGCAAUGACAAAAACUACAUUUCAGAUACAGUUUUCAAAUAAACAAUAAAAUGUUGCUCUCCUCAAAAAAAUGUUUUUCUGUAUUGCUACAUAAGUAAAGAUUUAGAAACAUAUCAAAUGCAGAUUUGAUUAAUUAAGAAUUAGGAAAUUCUGCUCAAAGACCCCAGAUGAAAAAUAGUAAUAACUGACUGUUGAGAACCUCAAAGAAUUAAUAAAUACAAGAGAUUAUUAUUUAGGUUAUAAGAAAUAACGGGGAAUCAAAAAGAAUUUGGCUGUGGAUAUAAAGAAGCAAUUAACACAGAUGGGCAACAAAAUGCCAGUAGUUAUAUGAAGAGGUACUUCUUUCACUGGUUAUCAGAAAAGUCACAAAUAAAGCAACAAUAGGAUAUCUUUUUUGCCCAUCUUUGUGAAGAAGUCUCAAAGGCUACAGCCCUUACUUCCAAAUUCUCAGAGAUAUCUAUGUGGCUAGUCUCAUUUGCAGAACAAGUAUGAUGCCCCCCACCCAGUUGUCAGAGAUUCUUAUUGUUGCAGUCUUCAAAUUCAAAGGCAUUCAUAACUUCCACUUAUCCUAUAUAAUCAAGACAAUUCCUUAAAAGUAUGUCUUCUCAUGUUAUAUUUUCUGUAAAUCUUUCUGUGACAUUUCAUGAGUUUGCAUUUAUGUACACCUCACUUGAAUUAUAUUUAUACUAUCAAAAGUAAAUACCACUCUUAACAUAUUUCCCCUUUACCUAGAUACUGCCCACAUCAGUCUGUAUCACUGAAUACUCAUUUUCAAUUUAAUGCUCAUAAAUUAUCCUAUUGUGUGGACAGGUCAUAAUUUUGAAAAAAAAAUCCAUAUUUUAGACACUGAUUUUAUUUCCAUUUUUGCCAAUAUGAAUUAUACAGCAAUGACAUCUUGUUACUAAAUUUUUCUAGUACAAAUUAUUAGCAAUAAAAUUGUAUGGCCAAAGUGAGCGCAUUAUAAUAUUCUUGAUGCAAAUUUCCAAAUUAUUAUUUUUAAAGCUUGUAGUAACUUAGACUUCCAGGGUAUGAAAAUAUUCAUUUCUCACCAUGUCAAAAGCUGGGUAUUAUUAGUUGGAUCUUGUCCACCCACAAAAUUAAUAUGUUAAAGCACUAACCCCCCAGUACUCCUAAUGUGACCAUAUUUGGAGAUAGAAUCUUUAAAGAGGUAUUUAAGUUAAAAUGAGGCAUUAGGAUGGACUCUAAUUCAAUAUGAUAGGUGUCUUUAUAAGAUUAGAAAAUUUGGAUACACACAUGUAUAGAGGGAAAAUAAUACAAAGACACAAGAAGAAGAUAGCAAUGUAUAAGCCAAGGAGAAACAACUGGAACACAGCCUUCCCUCAUGGCCCACAGAAGGAACCAGCCCUUCCAACAUCUCAAUCUCAAACUUUUAGCCUCCAGAAUAGUGAGAAAAAUGUUUCUGUUGUUUAGCUCAUACAGUCUGUGGCAGAUUGUUAUGAAAGCCCAAGCAAACUAAUACACUGGGUAUAAUAUAUAUUUUCUUUUUUGCCAAUUUUAUUAUGAAACAUAUGGCACUGGCUUUUAAACAUUUCUUGGAUUAAUAAUGAUGCUGAUUAUUUUCCUGUGAUUGUUGUUCACUUUUCUGGCCAUUAUCUUUUUUCCAUUGACUUCAAAUUAUGUCAUCCUAUAAUAAUAUCAUAUAUAAAUGUGUUUGCUUCAUCUCUUUCUAUUGUUUCAUUAAUAUUUACCUACACCAUGUUAAGAGAUAACAAUGAUAAAGAAAAUAGUAACAAUUAGAGCUAAGAAUUAGUGAGGUUUUUACUAAGUCACUUCCUUCAGUAAUUUAUAUUAGUAACUCUUUUGAUCCCCAUAGCAACUGAUAUGAUUUGGAUGUUUGUCCCCUCCAAAUCUCAUGUUGAAACGUGAUUCUCAAUGUUGGAAGCUGGGUCUGGUGGGAGGUGAUUGGAUUAUGGGGGUGGGUCCCUCGUGGAUUGGUUACCACCAUGCCCUUGGUGAUAAGUGAGUUAUUGCUCAGUUAGUUAUUGUGUGAUCUGGUUAAGAUUCUGGGAUACCCCCACACCCUUCUAUCUAUCUUGCUUCUGCAUUGCCAUGUGACAUGCUUGCCCCCCACCCCUUUACCUCUGCCAUGACUGGAAGCUUCCUAAGGCCCUCACCAAGAGCAGAUGCUACAGCCACCCUUAUACAGCCUGCAGAACCGUGAACCAAUGAAACCUUUUUUCUUUGUAAAUUACCUGCCUUAAGGUAUUCCGUUAUAGCAUUGCAAACAGACUGAUACAGCAGCUCUGUGAAAUAAGUAAUACUUUUAUCUGCAUUUUUCUAAUGAGACAACUGAGACACAGAGAAAAGAUUACCAAGCCAGGAUAUACAUCCAUGCAGUAGGACUCCUAAAUACUAAAUAUUCACCUAAAAUAACAAUAGUGACAACAACAACCAACAUUUAUUAAGCUUUCAAUAUGUCUAACAGAUUUUGAAAUAUUUUACAUGCAUUGAGACUAAUUUAACCCUUACAACAUCUUUUAGAAAUAAGCACUAAUGUUAUCUUCAAUUUAUUGAUUUAAAAAAUUUCCAAAACACAAAAAUGUGAAGAAUUAUGCCUAGCACAACACAUCGAUAUUUCAUAGCAAACCUAUUAAAAAACAUUGGCAAUCUCCUCCUCAUUAUGUUACAUGAACAACUUUAAUUAUAGCUUUGAACUAGGGCAAAGACCCUGUCCUUAAUAUUUUCCAAAUUAUCUUCGUUAUUCUAAUAUUUUUAUUCCUAUGUAUGAAUUUACAAAUCACUUGAAAUACAUUUUUGAGCCUACAGAUUUAGUUGGAAUUCAUGAGAUAUUUUAUUCAGUUCACAUUAAGUUUUUUAUAAUCAGAAAUAUUAUGGAAACGAAGUAUUAGUUACUAAGGUAGUCACUGUGCAUUUUUAUAUUAAAAGCAAUAAUGGUAAAGAAAUACCUAUGUUUUCUUUUUCUGGAGAUCAUCAGCAGAGCAUCAUCUCAGUGUUGGCCAAGGUGGUAAUCACAGUCAUCCUGAGUCUAAGUUUGAACUGUAUAAGGUUGCAAUUUGACAAGUUUUAACCCACAGAAUGGCACCUUCUUAUGUUUCAACCUGAUACGCUGAAUAGGAAUUAUGCAAGUUGUGGAAUACAUCCAUAGAUUUAGAUGUGCUAUUUGCAACUCUAUCUAAAGCGGAGAUUAAUUAUCCCUUACUAUAUUUCACGACAUUUCUCUAACAAUUGAUUCAACUUCAGUAUGUGUAGUUACGAUGCUUUUAGCCAAUGAACGCUCUCAAAUUAACUAAACGUGUUUCUGGGAAUAUAAAAUAUAUAACCAUCAGCAUUUUACGACCUAUAAAAGAAAACACCAACUGCACUCAUGAGAACUUCACUAACCAUGAAGAGUUAGGUUUAAUAAAGGUGUUCAGGGGUAGAAUUUAUGUAAGAAUUUGCACGAAGCCUGACAAUGGAUCCCAGAGACCUCUUAAAAGUGUGUUGUAUAACUUACGUUUCUUUUUGAAAAAGAAAGUAUUCAACUUAAAAAAAAAACCCAGAGACUAUUAAGAAGAGUAAUAGGCAAUUGUAGUUAUAUUUCACAUAGCUUCUAUAACUAUCUAACACAUGAUAUACAUUUCUUUUAAUUAAAACAUGGUAGAAUGAAGGACUUUGGUAAUCUGUCUCAUAAUGCUUAUAAGCUUAGCAGCAAUAAACUUUGCUAAAUACUAAGUUUGAGAAAAUGCCGUGCAGGCAGAUGAUAACUAUGAGCCUCAAGUCUCUCCCAGAGCUGCAAACAAUACCAUCUGCUACUCUGCUGAUUUCUUUUUUGCUCAUUGGUAUCAAAUGUAAUGGGGAUCACGCUUUAAAUUCUAAUUUCACACCCUGGCCACAAUGGUGGGGGUUGUCUUCUUCUUCAAUGUAAACUUGUUCAAGCGAAUAAGGGAUUUUUAUUUUCCUUUGAAAAAAAAAAAAAAACUAGUUAGGGAUUUCCACUCUUCCAUUCAUGAUGGGGUAAGAGGAACCAAAUUUAUCCUUAUGUCUGAAACAAACAAAAUACUAUACCAAAUACAUAAGCAACACUUUUCCAUAAACUGGGCAUUAGGCAACAAAGUCAGCUCCCUAAUGAAAAGUAAAUGAUAUGAAAUCUACAGUUGCCCCCAACUUACUGCCUAGAUAGAGUUUCCAGGCCAAGGUACAAGGAGGAGAAGCUUAGAGGGAGUUCAGCAGAUUUUCUAAGUUAAGGAGACAAACCUGAGAGCCUGAGAAAACAAAGAGGGUAGAGAUCACAGGAAGGAGUCCUGGAAAAGAGAGAGUACAAAGAAAUACAUCUAGAUAUCUGCAGAGGAUAGCCUCAAGUAUUCAGCAGAGUGGUGAUCAUCAGCAAACCUAUAUGAGGAAAUUACCUGAGACCUGGAAAAAACAAAACAAAAAACAAAACCCAAAAUUUGAAAUGAUGAAGUAAUAGUGCCAGGCACUUGCAUUGGGCUAGAAAUAAUGCCUACAUAUUCUCACCUGUCAGACUGGAAACUAACCGGAUUCAUAUGGAUCAGGUAUAUUACUCAGAAGCAUAUUAUAACAAAUACUGAAACGAAGACCCGGAAGGAUCAAACUCUUUUCAAAUAAGUACUUCAAAUAAGUACUAUAUGUACUUCAAAUACAAGGCUCAACUAUAUUAAUAAAAUGAAAAGAUACCCAUCUCUCAAAUAGGUAAAAUUCAUUAAGUCUGAUAUAUAAACAAAAAUUAGCAGAAAUCAAAAGAAGCAGUAAAAUAAUGAGAAAUUUUAAUCAAUUGAAACUGGCAUAGCCAUUAAAAUGAGCAGAUGAGAACAUUAAAACUAUUAUAAAUGACCAUAGUUAUGUUCAAAAAGUUAACUAGAGGCAGGACUUUUAGAAAACAAAUCCUCUCCCUCAAUACAAAUAUUAAAACUCUACAAAAUUGACAAAAAUUACCAUUUGACAUUCUGAACAUCAGGCGAGGUGGAAAACAAUAUAAGAAGAAUUAUUUGUAAGGUUUCUGAACUUGAGGUAAGAACAGUGAGACUCUGUAUCAUUUUCUGAAGCUGCACCCAUGUUUUCCCCAGUAAGGUAGGGAAGGAAGUUUACUAUGCUGGGAUAGGCCAUAAAGAAUAGCACAUUCUCUGUCAAGUCUGAAGCAUAUUCACUAAAUUUCAGGCAGUGGGUGAUACAAAUGGUGGCACUGUCAAUGGAUCAUUAGAAAUUAUGUAAUCUGAUAUGUAUAAUAGAUUUGGAAAAUUAUUUAAAAUGAGCAGAGACUCAGAAAUUUGUUUGACACCAUUAUGUAUACCAACAUGUAUGCAACUGGAGCCAAGACGUAGAGGAGAGAGGAAAAGGAGCAGAAAAAAAAAAUUGAAGAAAUAAGGGAUGAACUCUUCUUAAAUCUGAUACAAAAUAUUCAUGUACACAUCCAAGAAGGUGUAGAAAAGUUAUAAUCAAUAAAAUGAUAUCUACUGAUACAUAUAUCUGAAACAAAGAGUUGAAAGACAAAUAAAAAAUGUGAAAUUCUCAAAAGAAAAAAGGACAAAUUAUGUUCAAAGAAGUCACAAUAAGAUUAACAUCUGGCUCUCAUCAUAAUCAAGGAGGCCAGAAACAAGAGAGAAAUGACAUAUUCAAAAUAUUGUACGGGAAAAGAAAAGUCAACCAAUAGUUCUAUAUUCAAUUAUCCUUCUCAAGUGAAAGAGAAAUAAAAAAGAUUCCCAAAACAUUAAAGAAUGAGAUAAUUCAUUGUUGCCAGGCCUGCCUACAAUAAUUAAUAAAGGAAAUCCAAAUCUCUCAAAGAAAUGAGAACAGGUGAUUAUUCAAUCAAAAAAUAAAGGGUAUCGUAAAUCUUUAAUUAAUUAAAUCAUAUGUAUAAAAUAUGAUUUAAUAUAGAAGACACAAUAGACUCAAUAGUUACAUAAAGUUAAAAAAUUUAUUCUCUUUACUUAUUUAAUAGACACAAGAUUAUACCAAACAAUAAUUUGAAUACUGUGUUUUUGGAAUUCUAACAUAUAAAAAUUUAAUAUGUAUGAUGAUGAUAGCACAAAGCAUGUUACAAGAAACUGAGGUACACUUAUGCAAAUUUUCUACAUUUUACCAAAUAUAAAUAAUUGUUGUCAACAUUAGUUUGUGAUCAGAUGCACCUUAAUAUAUCAUGCCUAAGAAAAUAACUCAAAAAUGUACUAAAAAUAAAAUCAACAAGUUAAUUUAAUUAGUAUGCCACAAAUUAACUAAGAUGAUAAUUUUAUUAGAGACCAAAAUAAGCAUUUUAUAAUGAUAAGAGUCAACUUAUUGGAAAGUUAAAUCAAUUAUAAAUUCAUAUAUACCUAAAAUCAGAGCCCCAAAAUAUAUGAUGAAAAACUGAAAACAAUGAAAGGAGAAAAAGACAAUUCAACAAUUAUAGUUGGAAGAAAAUUGGAAGAUAUAUGGAAAACUCAAAAGACAUUAUUAACCAAUUCCAUGUGAAUGAUAUGUAGCACACUCCACUCAACCACAAAACAAAAAUAUUUUCAAGCUUGCAUGAAACACAUAUGAGGCCAUAAAACAAGUUUAAAUAAAUUUAGAAGAUAUAAAUCAUGCAAAGUAUGUCCUCAGCCUAUAAUGGAAUUCAAUUAGGAAGAAAUAAUAGAAAACUUUUUGAAAAUCUUUACAUAUUUAGAAAUUAAACACACUUCUAAGUAAUCUAUAGGUCAAAUAAGAAACAAUAAAAAAAUUUUUAACUUUUUGAAAUGAAAAAAAACAACAGAUCAAAACCCAUGAGAUGCAGCUAAAGCAGUGAUUAGAAAAAAAUAUGUGCAACAUUGACUGUCUAUACCAGAAAAGAUAAAAGAUUUCUAAUAUAUAACCUAUACUUUCACUUUAAAAAGUAGAAAGAUAACAUUAAAUUAAACCCAAAGCAAGCAGAAAAAAAAUAACAAAAAUUAUAGCAGACAUCAGUGAAAUAUAAAACCAAACACUAGAGAAAAUCAAUUAAACCAAAAGCUGAUUAUUUGAAAAGAUCAACAAAAUUGACAAGUAUUUAGCUAAACUAAGCAACAAUAAAACAGAAAGACACGAAUUAUCAAAAUCAAGAAUGAAAGAGUCUACAUUACUACAAAUCCUACAAAUGGAAAAGUUAUACGGAAUUAUGAUGCAUAAUUUUGCAGAUCAUAUUGGACAAUUUGAUAAAACAGGCAAAUCCAUUGAUUGAUACCAAUUACCAAAACUUGUUUCAGAUGAUAAAAAUGAGUAGAACUAAAAUAAGUAAAAACAAAAAAUUACUAAUUAAAACUCUUCCCAUACAUAGGAGUCCAUCAUUUACUGAUGAAUUCUGUCAAACGUUUAAAAAAUAAAUUAUACUAAUGAUGAUAAAGAAAUAAUACUAAUACUAAUCCUUAGCAAGCUCAGAUUAUGGAGAGCAGUAUUAGACUGAUAUAACAGCCAAAGACUUCACAAAAAGAACAUUACAGACCCAUACGUGAAGAUAAAUACAAAAAUACUCAACCAAAUAUAAGCAACCCAAAUCUAGAAAUGCAUAAAAAGGGUCAUAUGACAUAUCCAAGGGAGAUUUUUGCCAGAAGCUGAGGUAAGAUUAACAUUAUAACAUUAUAACCAACGUAAUACAUACCAUGAGUAGAAUGAAGAACAAAAACCACAUGAUAAUUUCAAUGGAUGCAGCAAAUUUAUCUAACAAAGCCUGACACCCAUUGUAAUAAAACCUAUCAACAAAAGUAAAAAGGAAAUUUUAUAUAUCUCAUAAAUAUAGUCUAGGAAAAAUCCAAAUCUGAAAUCAUACUUAAGAGUAAAGGACUGAAUUCCUUCUCUCUAAUAUCAAGAGCAAGGCAACGAUGUCUGCUUCUACUAUUUUUAUUCAAAAUUGUGCUGAAAAUUCUAGAUAAUUUAAAUAAAAAUUCAGAGAAAAUUAAAAACAACCAGAUUAGUAAGGGAAAAAUAAAAGUCUUUUUAUUUUAAGAUAACAUACUCUUAUAUAUAGAAAACUCUAAGAAACCUUAACAAAACCAAACCACUAGAGUUAACAUACAGCUUUAGCAAGUUCACAGGCUACAACAUCAAGACACAAAAAUCCUUUGAUUUUCUGCAUGCUAGCAAUAAAGAAUCUAAAAAACAAAUUAGAAAAACAAUUCUAUUCAUAAGAACACUAAAAACAAUAAAGUAUUUAAGAAUAAGUUUGACAAAAAAGUGCCAGUAAGAUUUGAACAUUAAAAAAUGCAAAGCAUUCCCAAGAGAAAUUAAAGAAUAUCUAAAUGAAUGAAGAAACUUUUCAUUUUCAUGAAUCAGAAGAAAUAAUAUUGUUAGAAAGGCAAUUCAUUACAAAUGCAUUACAAUCUCUGCCAAACUCCAGCAGGACUUUUGCAGAAUUUGACGAGCUGAUUUUGAAAUGCAUAUGGAAAUGCAACAGACCAAGAAUCAUUAAAACAAAUUUGAGAAAGAAAAAUAAAGUUGCAGAAUUUAUACUAUAUUAUUUCAAAACUUACUGUGAAGCCACAGUAAUCAAUACAGUGUGGUAUUGGUGAAAAAUAGGCAUAUAGAUCAAUGGAAGAAAAUUGAGAGUAUAGAAGCGUAUUUACAUUUUUGAUCAAUUGAUUUUUGUAAAAGUACAAAACCAUUUAAUGCAAAAAAAAGUCUUUUUAACAAAUCUUUCUGAGGCAAUUGAAUAUCAACAUAUAUAAUAUAUAAAUGCACACACACACACUUCUGUGCUUCACAAAGCCAUAAAGAAAAAUGACAUAAUCUGGGACAAAAUAACUGCAAAUCAUUCUUUUGAUAAAUAAUUUGUAGGCAGAACAUAUAAAGAACUUUCACAAUAUAAUAAUAAGGAAACAACCCAAUUGAAAUAUGGGGAAAUAAUCUGAACCGUUAUUGCACCAAAGAACGUAUAAAAACGAGUAAUAAGCACAUACAAUGAUACUGAAUAUUAUUAGUCAUUAAGAAAAUACAAAUUAAAACCCCAAUAAGAUCACUUAAUAUUUGCUAGAAUGGCUAUACUCAAAAGACAGAUAGUACCAAAUAAAGAACAUGGAGAAAUUGAAAACUUCAUGCAUUGCUAGUGGGAAUAUAAAAAGCUACAACUACCUUGGAAAAUAGUUUGGCACUUUCGCAAAAACUUAAACAUGUGCUUGGGAGGCCAAGGCGGGCGGAUCACGAGGUCAGGAGAUAGAGACCAUCCUGGCUAACACGGUGAAACCCCUUCUCUACUAAAAAUACGAAAAAAAAAAAAAAAAAAAAUUAGCCAGGCGUGGUGGCGGGUGCCUGUAGUCCCAGCUACUCGGAAGGCUGAGGCAGGAGAAUGGCGUGAACCCGGGAAGCGGAGCUUGCAGUGAGCCGAGACUGCGCCACUGCACUGUAGCCUGGGCUACAGAGCGAGACUCCGACUCAAAAAAAAAAAAAAAAUUGAAAUAUGUGCAUAUCAUAUGAAUACAGCCAUUUCACUGCUAGGUAUUUACCCAAGACAAUAUAAGCCUAUGUUGAUACAAAAGUGUACAGCUUUAUAUUUGUUAACAUGUGAACCAUGUAAACUCGUGGAUAGGAGCUUUCUUCUUCAUAGCCUAGAAUUGCAAACAAUCCGGGUUUGCAUCAGUAUGUGAAUGUACAAAUAAAUCAUGGUGUAUCCAUACAAUGUAAUACUACUAGUCAUAAAAAGGAAUUACUGAUACAGGUAAGAAUAUGGAUGCAUUUCAAAAUAAUUAUGCUGAGUGAAAAAAGCCAGUCAACAAAAGAGAGCAUACGCUAUGUCUCCAUCUGUAUAAAAUUCUAGAAAAUUCAAACCAAUUUAUAUUGACAAAAAACAUGCAACUCACUGGUUGCAUGAGGACCAGAGGGGAGAGCUGGGGAUGGGGAAAGGAGGAGGGAUUACAAGGGCCACAGAGAAACUUUGGGAGAUGAUAUAUUUAUUAUCUCAAUUGUUGUGAUAGCAUCAUAGACAUAGACAUACGUCAAAACUUAAUUAGUACAACUUAAAUACGUGCAGUUUACCAUAUGUCAAUUAUGCCCUCAGUAAAGUUGCUAAAAUGUCCAUCUAGAGUUUCACACAGUACGAGGAACAACUUCAAAAAAGUAAGAUACGAUGUGGAUUUUAGUCAUGAAUCAUUUUUUAGCUGCUGAACACUUAUGCUUAAGGGGUUUCUUUUACUUAGGCACAGACAUGCUCAUUAAGAUUAACUUUCUCAGAUAAAAUUGAGAAAUAUCUUACUUCAAAGCCUACUUCAAUUUUUCUAGAAAAUAUAAAAAAGUUUUCACAGCAGUAAGUAGAAGCAAAAUUGGCUUUACUUUCUUGCCAAUUUUUCACAUUUUGAAAAAUGAAAGUUGAAAGAAGACCUGCUAUUAAAUCAGAGAUGAGGAGAUAAUGUAGAAAUAUGUUUAUUUGAAUUGAGAAAGUUUAAGAAGGUGAUUUUCAUGUAGUUUGAAACUUGAUAUGGAAUGAAAGAAAGAUAAAAUGUGUGGUGGUCAACAUUGUUCUAGUAAUUAGAAGUCGGUGGUAUCCUUGGAGCUCUGCUAAUAACUGUCUAUUCUUGGGAAAGAACCCUUAACAUCUUCAAGUUGCUUCUUUUUCCACAAAAAUGAAUUUUAUAAGAUAAUGACUAAAAAUAUCAUCUACUUCUAAAAUACUGUUUCUUGAAAAUAUGUGGAAUAUGAAUAUUAUAGCCCUAUCAUCUGUGUGAAUAGACCUUUUUUAGAUGAUCAGAGAUUUUUCAAUUAUUAAAUUAUUUUUAUCAGAGUUUGUACAAGCAGUGCAUUAUACAUUUAAGGGCUAGUUUUGGAUCAAUGAACAUCAGGAUAUAAGUUGUCAGCAAACCACCUUUUUAUUUUUUUUAAACAAAACGUGUAAGAACAUGAAGUGUUAGUCUGAAAGAACUUUAACAUGUUAAUUGCAAAAAAAGAUCACAUAUCUAUAUCACCACUUUGACAAAAUGCUGUUUCUUAAAUGAAUAAAAUAAUCAUCAAACGGAUUAGUUUUGUUAUAUGAAUUAUCUCUGUAAUUAUACAGACUGUAGUGAUCCGAUUUUCAUGACGAAUAUUUUCAUGAAUAUUUUAGGCGUAUGUUUUGACAAUUGAUAGAGUUUAUAUUAUUUGUAUUUAUUGCAAUCCAUUUGUCUAAGAAUACCAGUAAAAUUUUGCAUAAAUAUUUUAUAUUAGCAAUCGAGUAACCUUGAAACCCACUAGCCUGGCAAUCUUAUUUAUAAACAGAAAGACCUUCUGUCUUUAACGGAAUUCUACACUAGACAUACUCCCAACUGGAAAAAAAUAAACUUGACUGCGUGUACAGGAUGAUAAAAACCUAUUUGUUUUUCAUUAAGCUAUUAUGAUAGUAAACUGGGGUGGUUAAAAGUUAAGUACUUUUCCCAUGAAGUCAUACAAUCUACCCUGAUACCAACAGUGUUUGAGCACUCAAGUUCACAAAAUAGCAAUACAAUCCUUGAUUUUGUUCAGAUGUUAACUACAUUUUCUAUAUCAUGAUGCUUGAUGCCCAGUAUAUGUGAAUAAGAGAAGCACUGUCUUCCCAAACAAGAUUUUAUUUUCAAGAUCUUCUAUUUCUUGAGACUAUUUUAAAACAUUAUCUGGCAAUAUGUUUCUGAGAUAUUACCAUUUUGAACUUUCACAGUAUGUUGUUAUUCUAACACAAGUGUAAAAUCCUUUCACCACAACAAGAGUAAACAUGUUUAAUUGAUGCAAAAUAUCAAGUAGCAUUCAGUCACAUUUUUCCUAAAAUUAUUUCCACAGUAGAUAUUUUAUGCAGGAUAUUUUAAAAAUUAAAGAAGACACAUACAGCUAGCUCACAACUUGCCAGCCACUAAAAUAAAAUAAGAUCCUGAUAUUUAAAGAGAGCCAUGAUAUUUCUGGGGGCUCACUUUAUGUUUAACUAAGCAUGGAAAAAGUUUUUUAAAUGUGUUUAAAGUAUCAGUUUAUUAUGGAUUUGAUAUUUUUAUUGUUCAGUUGCUUUGUACAAAAGAGGCAAUAUUCUUUUGUGAUAUCGGGAUCAUUGUGUAGUUAAACUAUCAGUGUUGACCUGUGUGAAAGAUUUCCUAACAAAUAUUCCAACUGUUUGCUAGUACAUUUCAAUUUCCUUUGUCAUUAUUAAUUUACCCUACACUUGAGAAUAUUUAUUGAGAAAAAUUUUUGACAUUAACACCUCAUCAAUGUUAAUUUGAUGGCUGUUAUCUCUUACUCAACUGUAGCAGAUAACUUUGGGUAUUUGUUCAUGCCAGGAAACUCUAUCUCAUUGUCACUUGUCCUCAAAAUCUGGAUCUCUACCAAGUUUUCUCUACAUUUCUCAACCCCAUUAACCAACAGAAGUUUAGAUGAAGAAAGGAUAGUCCAAUGAGCUGGGUCAAUCAGACACUCUGAAAGAAAUUUGAAAUUAAAUUGGAAACAGUAGAUAUAAAGACUCGUACAUGUUAAGAAGCCAGUUUUGUGAAUAGAGAAACUAAGAUAAUCUGUCCAUUAAAAAAAGAAUCAGAUGUGAGAGAGACCCUGUGGGCACCCAAAAGAGGACCUGCCUUAGUUUCUAACUAAUUUUUUUUUUUUUGGCUCCACUCCUGUGUGUCUUGACUCUGCUCCUAAUUGUUAUUAUGAGCUAAACAUGUAGCUUUAUAAGAUAUUAUAUGGUCCAAAGCUAGUUUUCAUAAAAAAUAAAAAUGAAUAAAAGAUGUACUGCUUACUAGUUACCAGGUAUUUUUCGAAGAGCUUCAUAUGUAUUAACUCAUUUAAACUUUGCAACCCCUAUGAAGUAUUAUUUAUUAUUAUCCCCAUUUCAUAGAUGAGAAGACUGAGGCCUAAAGAGGUCAUAUAACUUACUAAUACCUUAUGCCUCUUUCGUAUAUGGCAACUGAACAAAAAUUAUCUAAAGUAUAAUAAAGUGUUUGAAAACAUUAAAAACUUUUCUCCAUGCUCAAUUAAACACAGACUUUCUAUACUUAUGGCUAGAAAGCCUGAAGUAGGUUUCUUGAAACUAAAAAAUAAAACAAGCAAAGGAAAUAGAACCAUUCUUAAUGAAGAAACCUAGCGAAUAUAAUUAUUUGAAGCUAAUGGCACUUUGGCCUAUACCAAAUCCAGAAACCAAGACACGUCCUUUGCAAAUUCUCACUUUAAACCAAGCAUUCUCAAAGAAGGUGGGUGAUACUGCUGCCACUGAGAAGACAAUUGGUUCCUGCGGAUGAAAAAAGUCCUACCUUUGUCUAUAUGAAACAUGAAUAUCCACACAGUACAUAAAUACAUGUACAGUGUAUCUAUGGUAUCAAAAUUUCAUGAGAGUAUCAACUAGAAAAAAAGUCUUAAAAGGCUAUUAGGGGAUGGUGAUAAAGAAAAGGGAAAAAAUAAUUGAGAAAUUCUGCUAUAAACAAACCAAGAUUACUCCUACAUGUAUUGACUUCAGCUUCUAUCAUGCUACAAACUGUUUUUUCUUUACAAAAAAAAAGUCCCUAAGAAUUGAUAAUCAGGAUUUGAGAACAGCUUUCUAUCUAUUCUUCUCAAGUUCAAAAAAAUUAUUCAAGCUGUUUUCUGAAUUAAAGAGCUGCAAAAGAUAUUUAUGUUUCCUGUCAUUAAAAAGCAUUUUAAAAAUACUUUUUUGCACCGUCAUUUGACCAAAAAUAGCUUUUCUUUUAGAAGAUAAAACUUGUCACUGGCUCAUUUGUCCAUGGAAACAGCUGUUCAUUACAUGUUUGAACAUAUUUGCUUAAGAAAUGCAAAAUUAUUAACAUUUUAAUCCUCUAACCUUUUAAGGCAAGCCAGCUGGGAUUAUUCACAGAUAGACCAUAGCCUUUGGUUUCAGCUUUGUGGAAACUUCUUCCCUUGAUUUCUCAGAGAAUAUUAACUGAACAAUUUGAUUUUCUUGAUAGCAACUAUUCCAUCAGCAAAUCAUUCUCAACUAUUGGUCCCAAGAACCAGUGAAAAUAUACAAAAUGCAUUUGCAUAGUUUUGCUAAUAGUGAGAAAUUUUUAUUUUAUUUAAAAAUAGCUUAUUCUAGUACUUACUAUGUGCUAUAGUACUAGGUCCUGUUUUAAGCAGUUUAAAAUAUUAACUAGUUUAAUCCUCAUGAAGUAGGUACAAUAAUUACCCUUGCCAUUUUUACAGUUUAAGUAAUUGGACCAAAGAGAUGUUAAGCAAACUGCCAAGGGCCACAAAUCUGAUAAGUGCCAAUGCCAGGAUUCCAACAAAGACCAUCUGGCUUCAAACUCUGUGUCUGUUCCAUUAAACUAUGGCAUUCCAAGCACUGAAUUAAUAAUAUUACUUAUAGUUUCUUAUUUACCCUCACAGCAACCCUAAAAGGUGGCAUGGUUCUUAUCCAGGCUUUAACAGAUGAAGACCAUAAAAAAGCAGAGUUUUAACACCUGGCCCAAAUUCUCAAAAUUGUAAAAAAUGAACCUCAAAUUUGAACCCAGGGAAUUUCUUCUUCUGAAACCCUUAUGCUGUACACUUAUUGCUUUCUUGAGUUUCAUGGGAAUAUCUAACAUUUGAGAAUAAUCCCUGCCCUGGCCUUUUUCGAUAGUUUAUUAUUUUAUCUGUCUAUCUAUCUAUCUAUCUAUUCUAUCUAAAUAGA